rnacentral:rRNA from 1 species
UACGUAGGUGGCGAGCGUUGUCCGGAUUUACUGGGUGUAAAGGGCGUGUAGGCGGGGAAACAAGUCAGAUGUGAAAUCCCGGGGCUUAACUCCGGAGCUGCAUCUGAAACUGUUUUUCUUGAGUGCUGGAGAGGAAAGUGGAAUUCCCAGUGUAGCGGUGAAAUGCGUAGAGAUUGGGAGGAACACCAGUGGCGAAGGCGGCUUUCUGGACAGUAACUGACGCUGAGGCGCGAAAGCGUGGGGAGCAAACAGG